rnacentral:lncRNA from 1 species
CUUCCCCCCCAAUAUCACCUUAUCAUCGUGCAAAACCUUCAGGAUGUUGGGAAAUAUAUCCUAAAGUUAAUCAUCUAGGUUAUAGAUAAUUAUGCUCCAUGCAUGUACAUGAAUUGUAAAUUGAUAAAUGUUAUCUUCCUAAAUAGAACUCAUGUGUUAUGAUAAAAUCCUUAGAGCUACUUUCAAAAUGAUAAAAGAAGAUUUAUCAUAUGUUCUUAAAUCCUGCUUGCGAUCAAAUAAUACAAUUAUUACAA